ensembl:lncRNA novel transcript
CAAACUCCAAACCAGGGGUAGCAGUCAUCUGAAAAAUGCAGAGACUAUUUUAAAGGACAGACAAGUGCCUCAGAUAGCAUCAGAGAACAAUGCCUAAGGUGCAUGGAUGGAAGCCAGUCUGCACAAAAUGCUGAAAAUAGGUCGUUCUGAGCAAGGGGGUCAUGGAGAAGAAAGUACCAGCCCUCCAUUCCUUACGCCCACUAGGGCUUAUGUCUGGGAUCCUCACAGAGACUAGAAGUGUCUCCCAUCCCCAUCGCAGUCCCUGGCACUUCCUGGAUUGUCGAGCGGCUCCCUGCCUCUGCCCUUUUGUAUUCGGAGCUACAGCCUUGCCUCCCCUGUUCCCACCACCCUGACCACCCCUCAACACCAUCCCGCUGUCAGCUCCGCCGCCAACUGAGGCGACACCUGUUCAUGGAAACCCUGUGAGCCUCUUCUGUAUCCAUACACAAUAGGUAAUGUUGUUUUACGUGUUUCAAAACAUCAGUGUUGUCCAACAG